rnacentral:lncRNA from 1 species
CUGUCUGUUGGCUUCGUUGUUCAUUUAUAUAACAUUGACUAAUCAGGGUAUUCAUGUUCACAGGAUAUUGGGUGAUUCUUAAGGCUGACUUGGCUUGAAGGUGUUCAAGUCAAGUGCCGCACGGUUCCUGGCGAUUGCUAAAAUCUGAAACCGUGACAAAGAGCAUUGUAUAAAAUUUUUUAAUGCAUCUUGCAAACAAUGGACUGAAAAUCUAUAAUUACAGCCAAGCAUAUGCCAACUAAACAACUCGAGCCUCCCCAACAAAAAGUGAAGAAUACCAGCUCCAUUUUUCUAUGCCAUGUACAACUAGUUCUAAACUAUUAAAGGCAACUAUCAUAGCAGCAGAAGAUAAAAACUAAUAUUUUCAUGCUACAUCAUAAUUAAGUUUAUUGAUAUCUGAUGACCGCUGAACUUCUCUACCCUGUUCUGGGGUCAAGCCCACGGUACCAGCCCAUUAUCUAGAGACCCUCAAGCCUCGCACACACACCAGGUCCGGUCCGCUCAUCUCAAGAUCGGGCUCCAAUCAAUUUCCUCAAAUUAGGCCGGUCUAGCCCUUUGGGCCCGAUGGGCAAAUCCAUUCUGGGUUCGGCCCAUGUCUCUCCUUUCGGUCCAGCCCGGAAUCAGAAGAAAAGCCCACUUGUCAAUCGUGUGGGACCUUCUGCAUGCACGCGUCUGAGAGAAUCAGAGGCCGUUACGUAUGGAGCAGGGAUCUGAUUUCCUAGUACGUCCAUAUCUGCGUAGCAGGGACAGGUGGCCCAAUGGUAGCCAAUCUGUUACUCGUCACUGACAGGCAAAGGGAAACAAAUAAAAGGAGGAUAAUUCUCCUCAAAACAAAGGGUUUUUUUCCAUUACUUAAAAAACCUCUGUAAAACCCUAUUUUUUCUGUAUCUCAGAUUAUCAAGUGGCGCCGUCUGUGGGAACGAAGGAGAUCUUUCCAUCACCGGAGUUUCACCCUCAUAAUACCCACGGAGAUCCACAAUGGCUAACCACGACGAGAACAACGUUGCUCCAAAUGACCCGAGCUCUGCGCGGGAGGGGCAGCAGACCUCCAAACCGUCGCCCUCCAAUUACCAAACACCGCCAAAUGGCCGGGGAAGAUAAUGCAGCAAAGAGGCCUUGGUACCCUAGUGAAUGCGUUGCUGGUGGUAGAGGAACCCCAGACCAAUGAACCUCAAUCUACCUACAAUCGCCUCCAGAUCGUCAGACGAGAGAUGGAAAAGAGGGAAAACCAAAAGCCAGGGUUCGUCGAAGGAAGGUAAGGGAGUUGAUAGGAAGCAACGAAGCUGAUGAUUAUUCGGGCUUGGUUAUAGAGCAGCGCCCCUUAAGUAUCGGGGCAACAUGGAGACAGAGGAAAUAGUCAAAUGUCUAGGUCGAUCGAGGUGGACAAGCUCCGACUCGGUGUGUCGUCCAACUUAAAGACAAGGCAAGCUGAAAUUCUCUGGUCGGCAUCGUCAGCAUCAAUCCGUCCAGUCGUUGAGAGAACGACUAAUCAAGCACCACUAAUGAGACUGCCGAUGGUCCCACCGGUUGGAGUAACAAAAGAGGAAAGAAUCUGAGUUGGCACACCGACCUAAGGAGGAAGUUGCUAGUCUAGUCAAGCUCCAACAAAUGAGGUCGGCGCGACGUGGAAAUGGACCAGAUGAACAGAGGUGAUGAUGCUAAGGACAUGCCGACCUGAGUGAGUUCAUUCUCCUAACUAUUCUUAUUAUUGUGCGAAGUAUCUUGGAAAAUCAUAUUUAAUCAUAAGGUUCAAAUCUUAGAACAAAAUUCUCAUGGACACCCAAAUAUAUAUUCAACAACAUACUAGCUUAGUGGAAAAAUUUUCGUUAUUAGUUAAGAGUAGCAUGAAUAUUCUAAGAAAAGGGAUUGUGUAUUUAAGCAUGUUACUUUAUGAGGAAAAUUUUGAGAAACUUAUGCAUGCGAAUAUUGUUUAUGGAAAUCCCUGAAUUGCAUGAACUAACAUGUGCAUUCAUCCGAAAUAGGAAACUGAAAGACAUAUGUGACGUGUUAUUGAUGGAUGAAUAUUAUUGAAUUAACAAUGGGUAUCCCCGUCAUAUAUGACCUGUGGAAGCUCUUAUUUUUCAGGAGAAUCACGAAUCUUGGGCAAAGAACUCAAAGAGGUAAACGGCCAGGAUCUCGUAAGAUUUCCUGGAGCAAAAACGGCCAGGAUCUCGUAAGAUCUCCUGGAGCAAAAACGGCCGGCGGGAUCUCUAAGAUCUCCCCAGAGCAAAAACGGCCAGGAUCUCAUAAGAUCUCCUGGAGCAAAAACGGCCGGUGGGAUCUCUAAGAUCUCCCCGGAGAAAAAACGGCCAGGAUCUCGUAAGAUCUCCUGGAGCAAAAACGGCCGGCGGGAUCUCUGAGAUCUCCCCGGAGCAAAAACGGCCAAGAUCCCGUAGGGUCUCUUGGAGCAAAAAAUGGCUAGGAUCCCCGAGAUCCUCCAGUGCCACAGGCAAAAGAAACAAUUCAUAAGAGCAUGAUACUGACCUCAUAUAAAAGGUCGGGGUACAGGAUCAUAAAUAAACAACUAAAACUCCGAUCUCCGCACGGAGCUUAUAUCAUAAGGAAGAGAGACUUUGAUCUCACACAAUAGCCAAAAGCGCCAAAGCGCCAUGCCGACCCCAAGAAGAUACUGGGGCAAAAAUAACAAAUCAAAAAUUCGUUCUCUCAAAAGAGUUCGAGUUGCGGGCAAAAAAGGCAUCGAUCUCACAAAAUAGCCAGGAUAUAUCGAAAUUAAACUAAGGCGCCCCAAUGACAGUAUCAGAUAGCAAGAGCGACCUGCUAACAAGCCAACGCAAGGCUCACAAGAGCACCCCGCCGAUCUCGAGAAAAUGAGCUCGGUACGGGUAAACUCAAUGGGCAGACUGAAUAAAGGCAAGACAAAUCCUAAACAAAAUGCAUACUAAAAAACAGAGCCCAACAAAGGAUCAGGGGCAAUCAUGAAAGGCACCGAUCAUAAAAUUUGACCGCUGACGCUAAACUAAUUUAGCUGACCUAAAAAGAGGUUUAGACCGCAAAGAGCCCAAAAAACGCUCGGGGGCAAAAAAAACCCAACCGAACGACACAUAUGCGAGAGCCAGAGGCUCAGACAAAGAAUCAAGGAGACAGAAGCGACACAAAAAAAAGCCAAAUAAGCCAUUCUGAAUGACCGAAUGGGGUAGUAGAAAACCCUGACUCAUCAUAAUAUAAAAGAAUCGAGCCGCAAUAUGGUCGAGUCCAAAACAGAUAGUCCGACCUCUAUAAUCCAGGGUCAACCUCCCCGGAGGCUUGGAAGGGCCUUGUGUCCGUACUGGCAAGGCUAUAAGCCAAUAAAAGAAAAAGUUAAAACCGAACAAACGAGCAGUCAGACUGAAACACAGCCCGUAUAAGGCUCGACAAGAAAGCAAGAAAUUAAGUCUGACCUCACAAAAGAGCUCGGGGCGCCAAAGUGAGGAAACCGAAAAUCCGAACCCUUGAGCCCGUAGCACAGGCAGUAUCACAAGUUAUAGGUGUAAAAACCUAAGCAAAAAGCAAAGAGCCGAGCUCCAGAUCGGACAAACUCACGACAUGAAAACAGCCAAGUUAAAUAAAGUUGAGUGUAGAGGACAUACCAGAGAGCCGAGCUCCCUACAUGAAAAGGCCAGCAAAUGCAGAAAAGCACAAAAGGAUAAAGGAAAGCGAGAGACCCUGCUUAUAGCUCGGAUUAACUCACAGUAAACAAACACUUAGUGAAGAUGACCCUGUGAGAGGAAAACGACAAAAUACCGAGCUCCCUAUCGGCUGACCUGAAAUUCGUAAAUAUGAGCUCGUAACAAGAACAAGGUUUAAAAUCAUCUAAAGUGGGGCACUCAUGCAAAUAAAAUAUUUCUCUAGGUAUCAUGUAUCCGAGCUCGCAACAAUGGCGAGAUCGUGAGUCAAAAACAGAAGUGCCCUCAGAGGAAUAGGAAAAACUCGCAAGUCAGAAGUUUAAACAGAUUCUGAGCUCUUAGCUCGGAUCAGCUCGACUAGCAAAGCCCCAGUAAAGAUAGCCCGGUCCGUCAAAUAAAUAAAACUGACAAGACCAGAAGACAAUAUGAGUAGAAAUUAGUAAUAAGGCACAGGCCGAAGUGAAAAAUUAUCAUCAAAUACACACUCCCAGAUCGCCAUACAUCCAAACAUCAAAAUAAGACAGAGAAACAAAAAGCAAGGAAAAAACGCUUUUCGUGAAAACAACCCUCGGACCAGGCGGUCAUAUAUAGAAUUCAAGGAUUUACCUCCACACCACUUAUGUAAUAACUGCUGGGGAGGUAAAGGGGGCAACAAUAGAUGACCGCCAAGGUUCCUUCGCCUUGAGCAAGGCCAAGCCCAAGAGAAAAUCCAAAAGGCCGACCUGAAAUUCGUAAACAUGAGCUCGGAAAGCUCAAAAGCAAACUGAAGACAACAGACCUCCUACGAGCUGAAAGGAAAUUUAAUAGCACGAGCAGACAAAGCCCUGGCCUCGGUUCCUAUUCAAACAGAAAUUAAAGCAAAAGAUCAGUGCUGCUCCUCAUGAUAAAAGGUGUAUGAUCCUAUCUAUUUCGGCUAUAUGAAGGGUAUACACCCGAGCUCAUAUUAACAGAAUAAUGAAAGAAAGGCGAGAAUAUCCUCGUGAGAAUCAUUAAAACUCAUAAGUUGAAAGUUCAAUUAGCUGUUAAAAACCGAGCUUAGAAUGAAGACCCGAUAGGAUCAAACUCUAUUAGGGAUUAAGCGAAUGCAUAGCCUGAGAGCAGCUAGACUUAAGGCAAAUUCAGCUCGGAGAAAUCCUAGACAGGAAUACCUUUGCAAAACUAAAGAAAUUCAUAAGUCAGAAGCUAAGACCUUCGAUAAAACAACAGCCCUGAUUAGCUUAAAAGCAAAACAGUAAGGAACUGUGUGUUUAAUUCCUUGUAAAUUAUGGGGAAUAAUUUAAAAUACUUUAUUUUCAACUAUCGGGUGAACAAGUCAUGCUUAUAACAGUAUAAGUAGCUCGACGAAGUUAGAAAAAUAAGCAGAACAGUUUAAGUGUGAACAAUAAAACAAAAAUUAAAUUUCAUUAAAAGAGAAAAGUAAUUACAACCCAGUCUAAUCAUUUUUUCUACUGAAGGAAAAACCGUCCUUAAAGGACUUACAUGCCCAGGUGCAUUAUCGAUUACACUCACGACAUUAUCAACUACACUAUCAUCUUAGUUUUUAACUCAGGUGAAUCCUUAUAGUUCGGAAGACGAGCUUCACGGGCCUGUUGGGUCCUCCCCUUUUAGCUCGGCGGACUCUUUAUACUUCUUAGACGCUCUAUGCACUUCAUUUAAGCUCUGUCUCGUUAUUAUGGGAGAACUGAACAAGUUGAUUCCCGUAAGCAUUUCUCGCUGUUCCAUCAUAAGCAGGCAUUCGAUUGCCCAAGUGUGAUGCGCGAUACACUUAGACAAGUCGAAAUACCAUAUGCUGCGUGUAUAUCACGCAUGAAAAACAUAAGUCUUCGAGUCGAAACCCUAAGAAGAUCGGGGAACAUAUGUUGGAAAGCACUAAUAGAAGCUUGACUGAGUGCAGCAGAUCUCUGUUUCUCAUAACCCAAGCGCUCCACACCAAAAUUAACAGUAGGUUGACCGUUUCCACACAUACGAACGGCAUCCUGUAUUCCACAGUAAAUUUUAGAAAUUAUAUUACUCCAUGAAUCUGAGUUAGGAGCAGACGGCAGGGGCACCGCAGAACUUUCCCUUUUAUUUUCGAAGGAAAGCAAAGCUGGAGCCGACCUCCUAGCGACCUGGAACUUCCUAAUCCCCACUUCCUUCUCUGAAGCCCAUCGAGACCUGGCGACCUGAGAAGACUGACGAGCUGAGCUCGACCUGCUAUGGCUGCAUAAUCCUGAAGACCUAGUCUCCCGGAAGCUUGGCUUGAGGGCUUGAGAAAGAACUAGAGGAGGAGGUCGGCGGACGACCUAGAUGGUAUAACUUCAACGACCCGUUGAGUGGUCUCCCACACUGAUCGCCUUGUCAGGAGGGCGUCCAAGGCAUCAUUUAAGCUCCUCAAAGGCAGCAUAAUAUUUUUGAAAGAUUUAAUCUGGUCUACCUUCAUCUCAGCAGCUGCAAAAAAUCCAAAGAUCGGGACAAAUCAGAGCGAUCUGCAACAGGAAAUUACAGAAGCAAGGUUAAAACAUAACUCAACGAGAAACCAAGUGAUGAAAUUUUUGAUUCAUCUUUACCUGCCUGAAGGAAGUAACGAAUAAACUCCCCGUGGGUGCGAAGCUUCAACUCAAACGUACAGAUCCGAGAGAAGGCAUGAAGAGAACGAAAUCAAGGGCGAGUGUUCUAGAAGCAACUUCGAAAUAUUGGAAAACCCCAUCAAAGAAAAGAAAGAAUAAGCUAUGCUCUUUCUGUCUAACAAAGAAGACUAAGUUUGCGUCCCCAUAAAGGCCAGUUACACCCAAGGUAUAUGGAUGGGGGAGGAGAAUUUCUUCAUUCCAGUAAGGACUCCGAGGAUGAAAAGGGGGGUGGUAUCAAUAUAUAUCCAGAAAGCUGAGGUUUUGAUGUAGGACAAGACAAUGCUGGGCUCUAGGCUGACGACCUCAGGAUCCUUGAAAGCUAUUCACGGAAAAGGGAAUAAAAGCGUAUCUUGAAAAUAAAGACUUGGAGGUGAAGAAAACAGAAUACGCGAAAGGAAAGAGGAAAGCCGGAAGUGGAAAAAGACAGAGAGGAUUCUAAAGUCAAAAUGACAAUAAGGUGAAAGGAUAUUCUGAGGCGAGCUGUAUUUAAACAGACGCGGUCAUAAUGAUCCUUGGAAUUUACCCCCUCGACAGUCGAGCGACAACUGGCGAGAAGGUAAAGGGGCAAUUGAUGACCGCUGAACUUCUCUACCCCGUUCUAGGGCCAAGCCCACGGUACCAGCCCAUUAUCUAGAGACCCUCAAGCCUCGCACACACACCAGGUCCAGUCCGCUCAUCUCAAGACCGGGCUCCAAUCAAUUUCCUCAAAUUAGGCCGGUCUAGCCCUCUGGGCCUGAUGGGCAAAUCCAUUCUGGGUUCGGCCCAUGUCUCUCCUUUCGGUCCAGCCCGGAAUCAGAAGAAAAGCCCACCUGUCAAUCGUGUGGGACCUUCUGCAUGCACGCGUCUGAGAGAAUCAGAGGCCGUUACGUAUGGAGCAGGGAUCUGAUUUCCUAGUACGUCCAUAUCUGCGUAGCAGGGACAGGUGGUCCAAUGGUAGCCAAUCUGUUACUCGUCAUUGGCAGGCAAAGGGAAACAGAUAAAAGGAGGAUAAUUCUCCUCAAAACAAAGGGUUUUUUCCAUUACUUAAAAAACCUCUGUAAAACCCUAUUUUUUCUGGAUCUCAGAUUAUCAAUAUCUAAAGGAGGAGGAGACUAAGCAAACUCAAUCCGGAAGUGUAUUGGUGAGUAUGAAUUGGAGCAGUAAAAAACACCAUUAUGUUAGAGUUCACAAAAAUCAACAAAUAUGCAUCAUGAGGUAGUAAAACAAUCAAGUGGAACGAUAUAUAAAUACUUUUGUAACGACCCGAAAAUCGGACCGCUACCGGCGCUAGGAUCCAGAUCGGCUUAAGGCCGCCGGGACCCGUAGCAAGCCUGACAUAGAACCUGUAAACCUGUAUAAUCCCAUACAUGAUCAACAACAUGCAUAAAAAUUUAAAACUUUUCUUUCAAACAUCCAAC